rnacentral:snRNA from 1 species
GUGCUCGCUUCAUCAGCACAUACACUAAAAUUGGAAAGGUAUAGAGAAGAUUAGCAUGGUCCCUGUGCGAGGAUGACAUGCAAAUUCCUGAAGCGUUCCAUAUUUUU